AUGAGAUGUCCCAAGAUCCAUGCCACUUAUCACACCCUUCGUGACACCAGGGGUCUACCAUGGCCUAAGGACCAUGGAAAGAAAGAAGAUGCAGAUCUUCUUGAUUGGCCUCAUGCAAUGUUUGGGUUUCAGAAAAAUAAUGUGUCCAAUCAAAGAGAACAUCUCAUACUCUUGAUUGGCAGCAUACAUAUAAGGCAGAUCUCCAAACAUGAACAACACCCAAAGUUAGAUGACCAUGUGUUGGAUACAACAAUGAACAAGCUAUUCAAGAACUACAAGAGAUGGUGCAAGCACCUUGGCCGCAAAACUAGCUUAUGGUUGCCGGCAAUUCAACAAGAAGUACAACAGCGGAAGCUUCUCUAUAUGGGCCUUUAUCUGCUCAUAUGGGGCGAGGCGGCUAACUUGUGGUUUAUGCCGGAGUGUCUUUGCUACCUCUAUCAUCAUAUGGCUUUUGAAUUGUACGGUGUGUUGGCUGGAAAUGUGAGCCCAUCAACUGGUGAAAAUGUUAGACCCUCCUAUGGUGGCGAAGAAGAAGCCUUCCUGAAGAAAGUUGUGACUCCAAUUUCCAAAAUCGUACAGAUGGAUGAAGCUGAAAGGAAUGGGGAAACAAAAUCAAAACACAUGCGUAGGAGAAACUAUGAUGAUCUCAAUGCGUACUUUUGGUCAAGAGGUUGUUUUCGAUUAGGAUGGCCAAUGAGAGUUGAUGCUGAUUUUUUCAAGAAGAGGAGCAAUAUGUGUGAGUUGUGCUCUUCUUCCACACCACAAGUGUGUGUGCGUGUGUGCUUCAUCUUGGCCACGGUCAGGUCUUGGGCCCAACGAUCGCGGAGACGGUGGUGGUGGAGUGGAGGAGGCUCGCCGGAGUUUUUGUGGUUGUCGACAUUUAGUGAUGGAUCAGGAUCUAUGAAACAUGCAAUAACAUAG
rnacentral:rRNA from 1 species